rnacentral:rRNA from 1 species
CCAGACAGCCAGGAUGUUGGCUUAGAAGCAGCCAUCAUUUAAAGAAAGCGUAAUAGCUCACUGGUCGAGUCGGCCUGCGCGGAAGAUGUAACGGGGCUAAACCAUGCACCGAAGCUGCGGCAGCGACACUAUGUGUUGUUGGGUAGGGGAGCGUUCUGUAAGCCUGCGAAGGUGUACUGUGAGGUAUGCUGGAGGUAUCAGAAGUGCGAAUGCUGACAUAAGUAACGAUAAAGCGGGUGAAAAGCCCGCUCGCCGGAAGACCAAGGGUUCCUGUCCAACGUUAAUCGGGGCAGGGUGAGUCGACCCCUAAGGCGAGGCCGAAAGGCGUAGUCGAUGGGAAACAGGUUAAUAUUCCUGUACUUGGUGUUACUGCGAAGGGGGGACGGAGAAGGCUAUGUUGGCCGGGCGACGGUUGUCCCGGUUUAAGCGUGUAGGCUGGUUUUCCAGGCAAAUCCGGAAAAUCAAGGCUGAGGCGUGAUGACGAGGCACUACGGUGCUGAAGCAACAAAUGCCCUGCUUCCAGGAAAAGCCUCUAAGCAUCAGGUAACAUCAAAUCGUACCCCAAACCGACACAGGUGGUCAGGUAGAGAAUACCAAGGCGCUUGAGAGAACUCGGGUGAAGGAACUAGGCAAAAUGGUGCCGUAACUUCGGGAGAAGGCACGCUGAUA